rnacentral:rRNA from 1 species
AGAGUUUGAUCCUGGCUCAGGACGAACGCUGGCGGCGUGCUUAACACAUGCAAGCCGAACGAGAAUCUGCGGAAAGAGGAUUCGUCCAAUUGAAGCAGAGGACAGUGGCGGACGGGUGAGUAACGCGUGAGGAACCUGCCUUUCAGAGGGGGACAACAGUUGGAAACGACUGCUAAUACCGCAUGACACAUUGGGGUCGCAUGGCCCCGAUGUCAAAGAUUUAUCGCUGAAAGAUGGCCUCGCGUCUGAUUAGCUAGUUGGUGAGGUAACGGCCCACCAAGGCGACGAUCAGUAGCCGGACUGAGAGGUUGAACGGCCACAUUGGGACUGAGAUACGGCCCAGACUCCUACGGGAGGCAGCAGUGGGGAAUAUUGCACAAUGGGGGAAACCCUGAUGCAGCGACGCCGCGUGAAGGAAGAAGUAUCUCGGUAUGUAAACUUCUAUCAGCAGGGAAGAAAAUGACGGUACCUGACUAAGAAGCCCCGGCUAACUACGUGCCAGCAGCCGCGGU